UGGGGAAUAUUGGACAAUGGGCGCAAGCCUGAUCCAGCCAUGCCGCGUGAGUGAUGAAGGCCCUAGGGUUGUAAAGCUCUUUCACCGGUGAAUAUAAUGACGGUAACCGGAGAAUAAUCCCCGGCUAACUUCGUGCCAGCAGCCGCGGUAAUACGAAGGGGGCUAGCGUUGUUCGGAUUUACUGGGCGUAAAGCGCACGUAGGCGGACUUUUAAGUCAGGGGUGAAAUCCCGGGGCUCAACCCCGGAACUGCCUUUGAUACUGGAAGUCUUGAGUAUGGUAGAGGUGAGUGGAAUUCCGAGUGUAGAGGUGAAAUUCGUAGAUAUUCGGAGGAACAACAGUGGAGAAGGCGGCUCACUGGACCAUUACAGACGCUGAGGUGCGAAAGCGUGGGGAGCAAACAGG
rnacentral:rRNA from 1 species